rnacentral:rRNA from 1 species
CCUACGGGAGGCUGCAGUGAGGAAUAUUGGUCAAUGGACGCAAGUCUGAACCAGCCAUGCCGCUUGCAGGAAGACGGCUCUAUGAGUUGUAAACUGCUUUUUUACGAGGGUAAACGCAGAUACGCGUAUCUGUCUGAAAGUAUCGUACGAAUAACGAUCGGCUAACUCCGUGCCAGCAGCCGCGGUAAUACGGAGGAUUCAAGCGUUAUCCGGAUUUCUUGGGUUUAGGGGGUUCGUAGGCGGUCGGAUAAGUUAGAGGUAAAAUCCCGGGGCUCAACUUCGGAAUUGCAUCUGAUACUGUUCGGCUAGAGAGUAGUUGCGGUAGGCGGAAUGUAUGGUGUAGCGGGGAAAUGCUUAGAGAUCAUACAGAACACCGAUUGCGAAGGCAGCUUACCAAGCUACUUCUGACGUUGAGGCACGAAAGCGUGGGGAGCAAACAGGAUAGAUACCCGAGUAGUC